AAUCGUCAUUUCAUCCAAUAAAUUUCCAUAGAAAUGCUUUAGUCAUUUUUAACAAACUGCAAGGGCAAAACUGGUAUUUUGACAAUAAAAUUAAAAAUAAAGUGCGAAAAUUUGGUAGCUACCCACUCUCUCAUCAAUUAUGGUCCAUAAUCCAUUUAUCCAAAGAAACGACAGUGUGAAAGCUUAGUAAACCUACCACUGGUCCACUGGUCCUCUCUUCAUUUUGGACGCCCCCCUUCACUUCUAGCUCUCGAUCUUUCUGCACCACAUUCUGCUUUUGUUCUUCACUUUCAUUGCCUCAUUCUACUUGUUUUCUUUCUUGAUCUUUCUAUUCCUGUGGCUGAAGCCCUGGUGUCAGUGUGAGGCUUCUCUCCGCCGGUUGGUCAAAAGACUUUGCUCAUCUAUGUGAUUGGUACAUCCAUCUUCUUGGAAAAAUCACCAACCAGAACCAUACAUCUCUGUGUCCUUGAAAACAUCAUCACCGCCAACCCUGAAAACGUUGAGCACAUCCUCAAAACCAGGUUUCCAUAACUAUCCUAAAGGGAAACCUUCCUCUGUUAUCCAGGGUGAUCUUCUGGGUAGUGGUAUCUUGAAUGUUGAUGGUGAAUCCUGGAGGUUUCAAAGAAAAAUGGCAAGUUUAGAGCUCGGUACUGUCUCGACAAGACAGUACUAUGCUUUUGAUAUUGUGAUGUAUGAGAUUCAAUCCAGGCUCAUUACUCUCUUAUCUUCCAUUACUAAGGGGUGGAUUGGAGUAAAUGUAAAUCCAAGUUUGCCUCCUGAAUCAGCUAAUUUUGUUACACUUCCUAAUAUAGGUUAUUUUGAAUACCACCUUCUUGUUGAGGAUCAGGUACUCUGCCUGGAGCCCAAGCCAGAGUGGGCUUGACUGAUGUCAAGGUUGGCGAAGAGUAUGAAAUAAUCACCACCAAUUUUACAAGAUUGUAUCGUUAUCAACUAGAAGUGAAGGUUAUGGGCUUCCUCAACUCAACCCCAGCACUCAAGUUUGUUCGCAAGAGUAACUUGUUGCUUAACAUUGCCUGGGACAAGGUCACUGAAAAAAACUUGCAACUAUCUGAAGAAAAACUUGAAGUGGCUGAAGAAAAGUAUGCGCUUAUUCCCACCAGUGCAAUAGCCCAUCUCUAUGCAAUGGGUCGGAUAAACCACAACAUAAGUAGCUAAUUCUGGUGGCAAAAUUGGGUUUACAUUUACUCCAAUCCACCCUUUAGCAACGGAAGAUAAGAGAGGAAUCAACUUAGAUUGAAUCUCAGACAUCACAAGAUCAAAAGUAUAGUGUCUUAUAGAGACAACACCGAACUCUACACUUGCCAUUUUUUUUGAAACCUCUAGGAAUUACCAUUAAAGAUACCACAACCCAGAAGAUCACCCAGUAUAAUAGAGAGAGGUUUCCCUUUAGGAUAGUUAUCGAACUUGAUUUUUAGGAUGUGUUUAAUGUUUUUAGGGUUGACAGUGAUGAUAUUGUCAAGGACAUGUAAAUGUAUGGUGUUGGUUGGUGAUUUCCCAAGAAAGAUGGGUGUACCAAUCCACAGAUUAGCAAAGUUUUUGGACCAACUGGUGAAGAGAAAACUCCGGCAAGCCUUACACCGUACACGGUGUAAUUUUUGCAUUUUGUCCAUUAAGAUUAGAAUUGCAAUGCUGACGUUUGAAUGCCAAGUUGUUAUAACGCUAACUGGGACGAAGCAUGCGAUGGCUUAGACAAGUUCAAGGCUACUCUCAAUGCAGUAAUAAUGUAGUAAAUCUAUUGAUAAUCCAACCAAGUGAAGUCCAACCAAUUAGUAGUACUUUACUAUAUAAAUAAAAAUAAAAUACGAAAAAAAGCUUCUUCUUU